rnacentral:rRNA from 1 species
GUGCCAGCAGCCGCGGUAAUACGUAGGGACCAAGCGUUGUUCGGAUUUACUGGGCGUAAAGGGCGCGUAGGCGGCAAUUCAAGUCAGUUGUGAAAUCUCCGAGCUUAACUCGGAACGGUCAACUGAUACUGUUUUGCUAGAGUACAGAAGGGGCAAUCGGAAUUCUUGGUGUAGCGGUGAAAUGCGUAGAUAUCAAGAGGAACACCUGAGGUGAAAGACGGGUUGCUGGGCUGAUACUGACGCUGAGGCGCGAAAGCUAGGGUAGCAAACGGGGAUUAGAUACCCCGGUAGUCC